rnacentral:rRNA from 1 species
CGAAGAUGCCCCAUUGAGAACUGAAUGAAGUUGGAGAGCUUGCUCAAAGAUGGAAUGACGUAGGAUUUGGAUUCUGCAUCUAGGUGGCGAACGGGUGAGUAACACAUGGGUUAUCUGCCUUCAAGCUGGGGGAUAACAGUUAGAAAUGACUGCUAAUACCGAAUGUGCUAGUAAUAGUAAAGGUGCCUUUUAAAGCAUCACUUGAAGAUGAGCCUGUGGCGUAUUAGUUAGUUGGUAGGGUAAUGGCCUACCAAGGCGACGAUGCGUAGCCGGGCUGAGAAGCUGAACGGCCACACUGGGACUGAGACACGGCCCAGACUCCUACGGGAGACAGCAGUUAGGAAUAUUCGGCAAUGGGCGAAAGCCUGACCGAGCAAUGCCGCGUGUGAGAUAGGAAGGUCCUUUGGAUUGUAAAUCACUUUUAUUUGGGAAGAACAGCAGAUAGAGGAAAUGAUGUCUGUUUGACGGUACCAUUUGAAUAAGCCCCGGCUAACUACGUGCCAGCCGCCGC